GACGAACGCUGGCGGCGUGCUUAACACACGCAAGUCGAACGGUAAGGCCCUUCGGGGUACACGAGUGGCGAACGGGUGAGUAACACGUGGGUGAUCUGCCCUGCACUUCGGGAUAAGCCUGGGAAACUGGGUCUAAUACCGGAUAGGACCACUGCCUGCAUGGGUGGUGGUGGAAAGCUCUUGCGGUGUGGGAUGGGCCCGCGGCCUAUCAGCUUGUUGGUGGGGUGAUGGCCUACCAAGGCGACGACGGGUAGCCGGCCUGAGAGGGUGACCGGCCACACUGGGACUGGGAUACGGCCCAGACUCCUACGGGAGGCAGCAGUGGGGAAUAUUGCACAAGGGGCGCAAGCCCGAUGCAGCGACGCCGCGUGAGGGAUGACGGCCUUCGGGUUGUAAACCUCUUUCAGCACCGACGAAGCGCAAGUGACGGUAGGUGCAGAAGAAGGACCGGCCAACUACGUGCCAGCCGCCGCCGUAA
rnacentral:rRNA from 1 species